GCACCCACAGCAUAUGGAAAUUCCCAGGCUAGGGGUCGAAUGGGAGUUGCAGCUGCUGGCCUACACCAUAGCCACAGCAACGCCAGAUCCGAGCCAAGUCUGCAAGCUUCACCACAGCACAUGGCAAUACCAGAUCCUUAACCACACUGAGCAGGGCCAGGGAUCAACCCUACAUCCUAUGGAUACUGGUUGGGUUUAUUGCUGCUGAGCCACAGUAGGAACUCCCAACUUCAACUUCUAAAUGAGCCUUUAGCCAAGACUGUCCACUGCUCCAACACCUUCAGUGGAUCCCUGCUGCCUAUCGAAGAAAGGCCAAAUGCAAGCUCAGUCUUUCCUGACACACCCCCAGAUCCAGGCGACAUUCAUUUAUUUGGCACACAUGUAUCAAGCACUAGUAUGUGCCAGGCACACUGUUCUUUUGUCCAAACCUGUGCUUUCACUCUUCCCCCUGCUUGGCAUGGCUUCCCUUCUGUCAGCCCCACCUCUACCCAACCAUCUCUGCCCCCCCCCAGGAGCCACCUGAUGCUUGGCCAUAGUGCUUGCUCCUGUCCUGCACUGUUUUCUUGUGGGGUACUGCUCCCCAAGCAGACCAGGUGCUUUAGACAAGUUGCCCCUGAGGAGGGUAAGACAGGCACUGGUGUCUUAGGUCAUGGCACUGGAUACAAUAAUUGCCUGAGAGUCACGAUGCAAAAGCAUAAGCAUCGCAGUAGAGUCUAACAUCCAGUCCUGCUUUGCCCUCACGAGCUCUGUGACCCUGCAGAGGACACUUAACCUCUCUGAACUUUAGCUUCCUCAGCCGUAAACAGUAACAAUAACAGUACCUACUUGGUGAGGUUGUUCCGAGCAUAGGAUGAGGUGACAGGGUUAAUGCCCUGUGUAAACUGUAGACAGUGUUUAUAAAGCAAACAGGAAACGGGAGAUUUGGGGAGGGAAGGAAGGGUUUAGGUGCCUCUGAAGCCUCAAAACCAGCAGGCAGGUCAGGACAAGGACCACAGGCGCCUGGAGAGCCAUGUCAGAACCCCUGGGCCCACUUCUGGGUGGAUGCCAGCUGAAGCAGCCCCAGGCCCCUUAUCUACAAGGAUCCCCCACGCCAGGCCCCUUACCUUGGAGCUUCCUGUCUCACUCAACUCGCCAACAUUCCGCCCGGACAGGGAAACCAAGGCCCAGAGAGACCUGGCAACCCGCCCAAGACUGCAGCCCUGGACCCCCAGUCUGGCUGGUUUCCCCCAGCCCACACUGCCUCCCCUCAGCCUCUGUCUCCAAAUAGCUGGGCUCAUUCUGAGAAGCAGAGCUCUACGUGGCCCCCACCCCAGGCUCCCCACGCUCUCCAUGACCUCCCAGAUCUUGGGCGUCCCACCAAGGUCCCUUCAGUCCCUCACAACGGAUUCUUCCCAGGCCGGCCUCAGCCUGCCGGCCUCUCCAUAGGCCCUCGGGCAGCCAGGCUAUACGUGUGGUGAAUAAAAUGUAUUGUUGUGGGCCAAGCGGGCUUUGGCUCACUGGCUUGUGCAGAGGGGAAAAAGGGACAGGAGCCCAGUGAUUAGCUCAGGCCGAGGCCCUCGUCACAGGCAACACCAGAAGGAUGACUGCAAGGGGCUUGGGAAAGGCAAGGGGUCCUCUGCCGGCUCCCUUCUCUGCACAUGCACCCCUGCACCCGCAUCCUCAGGAUGUUCACCUCCCCUACUCUGUCUACAGCCGUGUGUGGAGGGGCUGGCCCAGUGCUCCCUCCCUGACCUCUGACCCCUCUGCUUUGUCCCCCAACCCUGAGCCUCACCUCUGCGGUCAGGUUUGGGCUGGGAGAGAAGGGUCAGUCUUAGAAGUGAGGGGGCUUCUAGAACAGCCUUCUGGAAAUCCCACCCCUUUCUCUGACACCAUCUCCACCUAACAGCUGAGAACACUGCUCGCCAGGCUUUCCUGCCAUUGUCCAGUAAGACGAAGGCUAGAGGCAAGCCUCUGACUCCUGGCCCAACUCUGCCCAGACACAUGGCACAAGCCCAGUCCAAGUCCCUGAGGGCCAGGCGGCCCAAGGUCCAGAAGGGCCCCUGAGAACAGGGGCAGCUCCAAGCUCUGGAUCCCUGGGGCUCCGGGGGCCAUGACUUCAUCACAGCAACAACACUCCUCCGCACCCCUCAUCGCCACUGCUUGAACUCGGGGUGUCGGAGACCAGCUCUCUGCCUCAGGUUUAAGGCCUGAGGGGAGAUUAACAAUCCCUGGCUGGCUCAUCUCACAGGGGUUGAAGCUGACGGUAGCCACAGCGCAAGCUGAGCCCUGUGAGCCAGGCUCCCGGUGAGGCGCUACUGCAUCCGCUUAGGGAGGCUACAGAGGCUGCGUAAUCCGGCCAAGGCAGUGCGGCCAGGACGUGGCAGGGCCAGGAUUUAAACCCCCACUUUCUGGAUCCAGAGGACAUUUGCUUACGCGCUGUGCUAUGUGGUCAUCACCCAUCCAAGGGCUCUGAGGCUGGAUCCUGGACCUAAAAAGGGUAGAAAGGAAGGCAGAGGGGACCGCCAGCAGAAGGGCAAGAGAGGGCUGAGAUGACGCCCGACAUGCCAACAAAGAGACAUCAUAGGGAAGCAGGCGGCCGUGGCCGGCGGGCACCGGCUCCCACACAUGCAUGCUGGGGACACAGCUUCACACACAUGCACGCACGUGCACACCAGGCUGUACCUGUCACGUCCUUCUUGGGAGACUCAGCCCAGCUGGAGAGCCACACUUCCGAGUCCCCCCGAGAGCACGCAGCAGCGGGAGAGAGGAAAAUCAGAGGAGGAGAGAAAACCGUUAGGCAGGCAGGAGGUCCACCGGCGAGUGGCUGCAGGCGCCGCGUUGGGCCGGCAGCGGCGGAAGGCGGGGGAGGGGAGGGAGUGAUUUCCUGGCCCUGGGAAGGCUGCUGGGCGUGGGCCUGAGUGAUUACAGAGGCCCUGGGACACUGCCGGCCAGGACGGGGAUAAUGAGGUGUCUGCAAAACGCAGGAAUCCUCUGGAGCACAGAGAAUCCUACACAGUCCCCGCCUGGAACAGGGCCCGUGGGUUAUCGCUGCCCUGGAGAAGGCAGCCUGGACCUCUCUCUCCAGCCAUGUGGGUGGCUGGCUCCAAUGAUUCUCACCAGGCCAGCAGGCUCAGCAGCUGGGCCUGGAACUUAAACCUCAGGGUCAGAGAGCCCAAGGCCAGGCCCAGUCUCCAGGCGCGGGGCCUCAAGAUCUUGUCCAGCCCUUCCCCCGCCCCUCACCAUUGCAGCAGACAGACAGGCCCUGGCAGAAUGGAGGGAAGCCUCAUUUUAGAGAGUCUCAGAGCCCAACUCCAGCCUGGAAGGAUGGGGACCUUUAGUGACCAGAAGAGAGGAGAUUCUCUUCCAGGCUCCGUCUGUCAUGUGUGAUCUGGGCCUCAGGGUCCUCAUCUGUGGAAGGAGGUUAGAAGCUGUCCUCUGGCGAGGGGGAGGAACAAAGUCAAAACACCUAAAACAACUUAGGAUUGUGACAUGUGACAUGGUAACACUGUAAUGAGGCAAAAACACUCUUAGCCCCGUUAAUGGUAUAAACAUUGCUAGACUAUCAGGGGGUGAACACCUAACACUGGCUGUCUACCUAUAGUGUAUAGUGGCUCAUUUAUAUCCGAUGACCCCUUGAGAUGGGUCAUUUUUCACCCCAUUUUAUAGCAGUGGCCUCAGGGCCAGAGUAGCAGAUGCAGAAAUGGAAGCGGGUCUGGGACAGCCCAGCUGGUGCUUCUGCUGAACUGCUCUUUGCCUCCAAAAGAGAACAGUGUUGGUUACCACGGCUACAAUGAGAAGGAAAUGUGGAGAUGCACGUCUGAGAGAUAAACCCUUGGACUGCCCACCCAGUGCUGGCCAGGAGAGAUAGUAACGAUAAUCCUAACAGCAGCAAUGUUUCUACAGCAUUUACUGUACCCUGAGCAUCGCAUUUAGUAACGCAUCUGUUUUGCACAAUUAAACCUAUAAUGAUAAGGUAUCCCCUGUAUUUUGCAGAUGAAGAAAAUGAACCAGAGAGGUUAAGUAACUUGGCCCAAGGUCACACAGCCAGUAUGCCAUCCAUCUCUUGUGGGGAUAUGGGCUACAGGCUUCAGGUAUUGAUUUGAUGCCGCUCACCAUUUAAAGCACCUAACUCUCCCUUGCUCAGCAAGGCACCUUCUGACUGCAGGCUGAAGUCCCAUGUCAAACUGGGAAGACUGGCUCUGCCAGCGCUCACUGUAAACCAACAAAGCGGAGCUCUGGUGGAGAGGUUUGGCAAAGCUUCUGGAGUCUGGAUUCAAACCCAGGGUCUCCUCCUUUGAUAAAGUUAUUUAACGUCUCUAAACCUGUUCCCUGGACAUAUAUCAUGCGUUUGGUUCAAUCAGCUCUGGUGCAGCAGGAAAAUCAGACUCCUGAAGCUGCAAGGACAAGAACCAGAUGGCAAUUUGAUAAUACAAGCACCAAGAAAAUGCUGGCACCCAGGGAUGCUUGCCACAGACAAUGGGUCAGCUGGAACUGGGGGUAGAGGGACUCUGGGCAACUACACCCACAGGCAAGCAACCUAUAGCCAGAGCCUCUCCCAGGCCUAGCAGUCAGAAGCCCCUGGGGACAGCAGGAGCAAUGCUGGCCCAGAUUUCUCACCCUGGGAGGGAGGGCCAAGACAAGCCAGACAUACUCUGAGGCUUUCAAUUGCUGUGGCCAAGUGGGUCUGAGUUCAAAAUGUGGGGCUUGGAGUUCUCGCUGUGGCACAAUGGGAUAGAUGGUGUCUCUGUAUCAGCAGGGAUGAGGAAUUCCGUCCCCAACCUGGUACAGUGGGUUAAAGAUCCAGUGUUGCUGCAGCUGUAGGCCACAACUCCAGUCCAGAUUCAAUCCCUGGCCUUGGAACUCCAUGUGCUAUGGGGUGCCCCCCUCCGCUGUAUGUCUGUGUGUACAUACGCACACACACACACAUAUAUAUGUACACACAUACAUACAGAGAGAGAAUUUUUUUAAAUGUGGGGCUUCGUUGUCUGGUGCCAGAUCUUGCUGGGGCUGCAACUUUGCAACUUCUUCCUGCCGUGCCGCGGACAUGGCCAAGUGGGCUGCCACCCAGCAAGGCCAUCUUAACGCUCCUGGGCAGGCCUAGUGCCAGGCCCAUUCCAGCACUAUCUGGCCCCACCCAGCCCUGGGCUGAGCCAGCUAAGAGGCUACCCACACCUCUCUCCAUCUCUGCUGGCUUCCUUCCUUUGUACGCUUUCCUUCGGGUUCUUGGGAAGGACAUGUUUUGGGAGGGCCAGAGAGUCAGUAUUUAGCCUUUGUGGGCCGCAUGGUCUCUGCUGAGACUAUUCACCUCUGCUGUUACAACCCAUAGAGGAAUGAGCAAGCUGUGUGCCAAUAAAACUUUAUUUACAAAACCACAUGGCGGGCUGGGACUUGGCCUCUAGGCAAUGGCUGCCAACCCCUAGGCCAGGAGAUGAGGUUGUCAGAGAAGGGGAGCUACUCCAAACCCCCAGGAGAGAGAAGAGGGGGCCGCUGGCCCACUUGGACUAAAUGCUCACAAGGUCUUUGCUGAUUGGUUGAUUUUUUUUUUUUUUUUUUUUUAAACAAUCAGCUUGAAGUGUCUGAUGUCCUUCCAGGCCUUUAAGGUAUGGGCAUCUGGGCAGGCUAGGGAUGGUGGACAGGAAAAGAUCCCCCAGCCUUUGGAAACUGAGCCCCACUCCUAAGCAUGGAACAACCCAAGCUUGUGCCCACCUCUUCCCCCCAAUAAGCAGGCCUUCCCUCUUUCCAAAGGAAAAUGGGAAGUGGACCAGAAAUAAGCCUGUCUUUUAAAAAGAAAAGUCUUUUAAAAACGUGAUUUAUUUCCCAGUCCCCCGGAUCCACAGAAUUAAACCAGUUCCACGGCUCCCACCCCAAAUUCCCCCCUCCCCCCCCUUGGAGUACCUUCUCUCCAGCCUACCUGAGCAAGCCCUCGCCCAGGGCGGGAAGGACC
rnacentral:lncRNA from 1 species